rnacentral:misc_RNA from 1 species
UUUUACUUUUGGCUUGAUUCAGACCGAGGGACCCCCUUUUUAAUUGAUUAUUAUUUAUUACCUGUGUUGCUUUUUCCAUCCAUUCAUGAUCAUAAUUCAUAAUACACGAUCUUCAGAAUGGUAACACAUGAGCACUAUGUAAAGUUCCAGCCUUUGAGAUUGAUGCUUAUUGUUUCCUGGAGAUAUUUUUAAACAUGAUAUACUGUUACCGUUGUUUUGAAAAUAUCUUUGGUCUUGACAAGAACUCUUAUGCUCUCUGCAACCAUUUUGACUGUUGAUUUUUCCAAUUCAAUUGCCAUGUCAAAAACGGGAUACACUUCUUUCAUAUUUCCUGAAUGUGAGUGGACUGGAUGCUAGAUAGUUUCUUUGGUCAUUGCCAAGUUAUCCACCCCAACUACUGUUAAUUACUUUAAAACAAGGAUGUAGCUAAUUUGGG